UGGCGGCGUGCCUAAUACAUGCAAGUCGAGCGGACAGAUGGGAGCUUGCUCCCUGAUGUUAGCGGCGGACGGGUGAGUAACACGUGGGUAACCUGCCUGUAAGACUGGGAUAACUCCGGGAAACCGGGGCUAAUACCGGAUGGUUGUUUGAACCGCAUGGUUCAAACAUAAAAGGUGGCUUCGGCUACCACUUACAGAUGGACCCGCGGCGCAUUAGCUAGUUGGUGAGGUAACGGCUCACCAAGGCAACGAUGCGUAGCCGACCUGAGAGGGUGAUCGGCCACACUGGGACUGAGACACGGCCCAGACUCCUACGGGAGGCAGCAGUAGGGAAUCUUCCGCAAUGGACGAAAGUCUGACGGAGCAACGCCGCGUGAGUGAUGAAGGUUUUCGGAUCGUAAAGCUCUGUUGUUAGGGAAGAACAAGUACCGUUCGAAUAGGGCGGUACCUUGACGGUACCUAACCAGAAAGCCACGGCUAACUACGUGCCAGCAGCCCGGUAAAAUAAACUUCGGUCUGCCGGGGGUCCUCCGGGCUGG
rnacentral:rRNA from 1 species